GACGUAGGAUGCAAGCGUUGUCCGGAUUUAUUGGGCGUAAAGAGUUCGUAGGUGGUUCGUUAAGUCUGAUGUUAAAGACUGGGGCUCAACCCUGGAAGUGCAUUGGAUACUGGCGGACUUGAGUGUGGUAGAGGCAAUCGGAAUUCCAGGUGUAGCGGUGAAAUGCGCAGAUAUCAGGAGGAACACCAAUGGCGAAGGCAGCUCGCUGGAACGGUACUGACGCUGAGGCGCGAAAGCGUGGGGAGCGAACAGG
rnacentral:rRNA from 1 species